ensembl:lncRNA
GGGAUUUGGGGUCUGAGUGUGGGAUUUGGGGUUGAAUUCCUGGGAUUUUGGGGUCUUUUCUCCCGAAUUUGGGGCCAUUAUGGGGAUUUUGGGGUGUGAGUGUGGGAUUUUGGGGUGAAUUCCUGGCAUUUUGGUCCCGCAGGUACGUGGGGGAGCUGAUCUCUGACGCGGAGGCCGACGUCCGUGAGGACGAUUCGUAUCUCUUCGACCUGGACAACAAGGUGCUCAUUUUGGGGCCAAAUCCCACAAUUUUGGGUCCGUCUCAUCGUAUUGGGUCAAAUCUGGGUUGUUUUGGGUCUAAUUGGUGCCAUUUUGGGUCAAAUUGGUGCCAUUUUGGGUCUAAUUUCUGCUGUUUUGGGUCAAAUUGGUGGCAUUUUGGGUCAAAUCUGUGCUGAUUUGGGUCAAAUCUGUGCUGUUUUGGGUCAAAUCUGCCCUAUUUUGGGUCAAAUUGGUGCCAUUUUGGGUCAAAUCUGUGCUGUUUUGGGUCGAAUUGGUGCCGUUUUAGGUCAAAUCUGUGCCAUUUUGGGUCAAAUCUGUGCUGUUUUGGGUCUAAUUUGGUGCAAUUUUGGGUCUAAUUUGUGCUGUUUUGGGUCAAAUUGUUGCCAUUUUGGGUCAAAUCUGUGCCGUUUUGGGUCAAAUCUGGGCCGUUUUGGGUCGAAUUGGUGCCAUUUUGGGUCAAAUUGGUGCCAUUUUGGGUCUAAUUUCUGCUGUUUUGGGUCAAAUUGUUGCCAUUUUGGGUCAAAUCUGUGCUCUUUUGGGUCGAAUUUGUGCCAUUUUGGGUCAAAUCUGUGCUGUUUUGGGACAAAUCUGUGCCAUUUUGGGUCUAAUCUGUGCUGUUUUGGGUCUAAUUUGGUGCAAUUUUGGUCUAAUUUGUGCUGUUUUGGGUCGAAUUGGUGCCAUUUUGGGUCAAAUCUGUGCUGUUUUGGGUCUAAUUUGGUGCAAUUUUGGUCUAAUUUGUGCCGUUUUGGGUCGAAUUGGUGCCAUUUUGGGUCAAAUCUGUGCAAUUUGGGAUCAAAUCUGCCCUAUUUUGGGUCGAAUUGGUGCCAUUUGGGGUCAAAUCUGUGCUGUUUUGGGUCUAAUUAGUGCCAUUUUCAGUCAAAUUGUUCCCAUUUUGGGUCAAAUCUGUGCUGUUUUAGGUCUAAUUGCUGCCAUUUGGGGGCGAACUGGUGCCAUUUUCAGUCAAAUUGGUGCCAUUUUGGGUCAAAUCUAUGCUGUUUUGGGUCAAAUCUGUGCAAUUUUGAGCCCAAUUUCCACCAUUUUGAGCCCAAUCUCUGCCAUUUUGAGUCCAAUUUCCACUAUUUUGCGUCCAACCUCCGCUAUUUUGGGUCAAUUUCUGCCAUUUUGAGCCCAAUCUCCACCAUUUUGAGCCCAAUCUCUGCCAUUUUGAGUGCAAUUUUCACUAUUUUCAUCCCAAUCUCUGCUAUUUUGAGCCCAAUUUCCACCAUUUCGAGCCCAAUCUCCACCAUUUCGAGCCCAAUCUGCCAUUUUGAGUCCAAUUUUCACUAUUUUCAGCCCAAUCUGUGCCAUUUUGAGUCCAAUCUCCACCAUUUCGAGCCCAAUCUCCACCAUUUCGAGCCCAAUCUCCACCAUUUUGAGCCCAAUUUCCACCAUUUCGAGCCCAAUCUGUGCCAUUUUGAGCCCAAUCUCCACCAUUUCGAGCCCAACCUCCACCAUUUCGAGCCCAAUCUGCCAUUUUGAGUCCAAUUUUCACUAUUUUGAGUCCAAUUUUCACUAUUUUGAGCCCAAUCUCCACCAUUUCGAGCCCAAUCUCCACCAUUUCGAGCCCAAUCUCUGCCAUUUUGAGUCCAAUUUUCACUAUUUUCAGUCCAAUCUCUGCUAUUUCGAGCCCAAUUUCCCCUAUUUUGGGUCCAAUUUCCACUAUUUUGGGUCCCAUCUCUGCCAUUUUGAGCACAAUCUGCACCAUUUCGAGCCCAAUUUUCACAAUUUUCAUCCCAAUCUCCACCAUUUCGAGCCCAAUCUCCACCAUUUCGAGCCCAAUCUCUGCCAUUUUGAGNNNNNNNNNNNNNNNNNNNNNNNNNNNNNNNNNNNNNNNNNNNNNNNNNNNNNNNNNNNNNNNNNNNNN